UUGGCAACAACAAAUCUUCACUAUCGGAGACAACUUUUGUUCUGACGCCAUUUUGAAAAGUUGAAUAUCUAAAAUUCUUAAUCUUUAGUACAUAUAUUGCAAGAAAUAAAAGGGAAAUUUAAGUGAUAUAACAUACUUAUUUACUUCCAUGCAAUAGAUAGACAAUGUAGGCCCCAAAUCAUCGUACAUGUGUUCCAUGCUGUAUGUUGUACAAUGGCGACUUUUCGCCUUUUAAUAGAAUGAAUACUGAAUAUAAUAGUUCUCUCUCUGUGUAUAAAUGAGUUCUUUCAAAGUGGAAUUUCUUUUUUUAUUUUUAUCCCCUCUAUUUAUUCGGAUGAUAAUAUCUAUACCGAGCACGGUUUCGUAGUUAAAUACAUACUAAAGUACAUCCGGUUUGAAUUCAUGUGUUCUCGGAUUACGGGAUAGCCAACUGUUUUGAUUUUUUGGAACUUAUGACAAGAGGCAUUCAUCAAUGUCAUUACUAAUGACAAACAGGAGAAACGGAGACAGGAGAUGGAAAGACUGAUCUUCACAGACAGCAGUCAAAACAAAGCAAAAGAAAGCAUUCAAAACUGGAAAUAAGAUAGAAAGCCGUGGAACAUCUAGACAAGUCAUGGACCCCAACAUCUAAAAAGAACUUGACGGAGUGCAUUCGGUUGGACAUAACUUCAUCCGAGAAGACUGAUGACAAAGACUCAACAAAGAGGGUCAGGCUCCUAUUUUCCUGGGAAUCAACCAGACCGUGUAAGGGAAAAGAGGCACUGGACAAGGCAUAUAGACACAAGGUCCUGAAGACCGAAUCUGCCAGACGCCAGUUGGUAUUUGUAAGGGAUGGUAGAGAGGACACAACAACACCUCCUCCUGAGAAGUGUUCAGCAUGGGACUUCUCCUCAUAGAGGUAAUUAAUUUUCUCAGAUACUUAUUUAUUUUUACCUUUCUUAGUAUUGUGUAAAUUUUUAUAAAUUCAUUUAACUUCCCUUUUCAAGUGAACAAAAAGAUCAAUACCAUUUGAAAAAAAAUAUUAAGGAUGUGUUAUUUUUUGCUUGCAAAUACUAAAGUCUGAUUAUAUUGAAGCAUUUUCUAUGGCCUUCUUUUGAUAAGUUUUAUGAUAGUGUAUCGUCUCCUUGUCUAACCAAUUGUGUACUAUCAUUAUAAGAAAAGCUGCAACAUCAAACAAAAGUAGGGUAAAAUAGACAAUGUGACCUCUUUUUGGAAAUUAUGCCUGUACAUCCUUAAAUAAUUUGUGGAUCACAUCUUAUCUUUGAAUCUGAUAGAAUCUGUUUUUGGAAAUUUAACUUAUCAUAAGUUUUUAUAAUAACUCACAUCCUUAUGACCAGAAAACUUGUUUUUUUUAUGGAGAUAAGAAUUACUGUACAAUCAUUUUAAUUCAUGGGGGGUCAAUGUUUGUGGAUUAGUAAAAUAUUACUUCAGCUAAAUUUUAACUAUUUUUUUAUUCCUUGUAGGUCAAACAAGGUUUCAGCUAUCAAGAGGAUACAAGAAAAAGAACUAUUUAAUUCUGUGGUUGUGUAUUUCCAGAUGUAAAUAUUGAUAGUUGUUUUGGUUUUUUUUAUAAUGUACAUGUAAUCAUGUAAUGUGGAUGGGGCGACUGCUUUCACAUUUCACAGAUGUAUUCCAAGAUUUACAUACAGAUGCAAUGUUGAUGUUUUGACAUAUCUGUAAAAAUUGUGAUGCUUUUUCAUAAAUUUAUUUUUUUUAUAAUACUGCAGUAACUUAAUUGAGUCCCUGAAUGUCAAUA